ACCAUCAACAUUACCUUUAUUCAACAUGCUGCCACUGCAGCAUUGGGGGUUUUCUCUGAUGUUUCUCUCCAUCCUCACAGGAGUCAGCUGUGAAGAACUCACUCCAGUAGAGAAAGAAGAGAACAGUUUAGAAGACAGCUCUGUUACUCUGUCCUACAGAUACUCCAGACAAGCAGCUGGUGCUGAUAGAUUCUUCUGGUAUCGACAAUAUCCAGGAAAACCACCAGAGUUCCUCAUCUCUCAUUUAGGGACAGGAGGAAUGCUGACAAGUCCAAUCCCUGGACUGUCUUCUUCAGUGAGUGAGGAUAAAACCAAAAUGGAUCUGAAGAUCUCCUCAGCUAAGCUGUCAGACUCUGCUGUGUACUACUGUGCUCUGCAGCCCACAGUGACAGGAAACACCAAAACUCUGUACAAAAACCUUUGGAGCAGUAACACGAUGGAAGAUGAGAUUACUGCCAGCAGUGCUGAAGUGUUUUCAUCAGAGGCCGUAGUGCUACUCUGUCCUGUACCUAUUCAGUUAAAGCUCAAAAUCUCCAGUGGUUUCGACAGGAUCCUGAUCAGCUCCUCAGUUCCUUCUCCUGAUCACUGA